rnacentral:rRNA from 1 species
UACGGAGGAGGCAAGCGUUAUCCGGAAUUAUUGGGCGUAAAGCGUCCGUAGAUGGUCGUUUCAAGUCUGCCGUCAAAUCCCAGGGCUUAACCCUGGACAGGCGGUGGAAACUACCAAGCUGGAGUACGGUAGGGGCAGAGGGAAUUUCCGGUGGAGCGGUGAAAUGCGUAGAGAUCGGAAAGAACACCAACGGCGAAAGCUCUCUGCUGGGCCGACACUGACACUGAGAGACGAAAGCUAGGGGAGCGAAUGGG